CGGCGACGCAGGUGAGUCAUUUCUUUCAGCUUCAACCAGAUCCGGUGGCGACGGCGACGCAGGUGAGUUAUUUCUUUCAGCUUCAACCGGAUCCGGUGGCGGCGGCGACGCAGGUGAGUCAUUUCUUUCAGCUUCAACCAGAUCCGGUGGCGGCGGCGACGCAGGUGAGUCAUUUCUGUCAGCUUCAACCGGAUCCGGUGGCGGCGGCGACGCAGGUGAGUCAUUUCUUUCAGCUUCAACCGGAUCCGGUGGCGGCGGCGAUGCCAGAGGUGACUGAUUUCUCGUAC